rnacentral:lncRNA from 1 species
UGAAACCAACACUAGGGGGCGCUGCGAAACUUGGCCCGGUCUGGCUACACUGUGCAGCAUGGCGGCUUUACGGAGGUCCCCGCGUGCGCUGUCCUUCGUGAAAAUAUUAAGCUUCUUGCAGUGCGACGUUAAUUCGCGCUGUUUUGUGGAGGGAGAACGGGUAGUGGACGCCGAGCACCUCAUUUUAGUCCGUACCAGUGGUACAGUGAGUAGUGAGAUGGAAGUGGUCGCGCUGUGUGUGCAAACAUCCGGCGUGACAGCGGACCCGCACGAGAUUGUGGUGAGAAUCACCGACCCAUUCCGGGACCCAUCGAUCGUGGAGGCAAAGUGCUCAUGCACUGCUGGAUUGUCACAAAAGUGCAAGCACAUCUCAGCUCUUUUGAUCCACUGUUACAGGUAAGUCUUCCGUGACUCAGUCACUACAUCGACGCGCAUGGGAGCGAAAAGCAAGCCCGCUGCUUCCACAGCUUUUGAAACAGGGCCGGGAUAAUGUAACUGACUCUGUUCCCAUUCCAAACCUGUUCUAUUCCUUCGCCGCGACUGACGCCAAAGGUGCUGUUUCCAAAUAGUUGUCGGGGCUAGGAAUAGAAUCGAGGAAAAGAGUCGGUUACAUCACACCAACACAGCUCACAUUUUUUUCAAACAUAAAGCCAGGGGAAAAAAUAGAUAUCCUUGCAUACUGAGCGUGUAGCAAGGAAUCAAAGCGCGAGCUUUUCACUUUGUCAUGCAGCCUAGUUUAGCAUGCUUUGUGAGGGUGUGGCUAAGCUCUCUUCCUAGUUUUGCGUUCCGGAAACUUUUAUUUUCUAUUUUAAAUUCAAGAUAAGCGCAUAAUGACUGCUGCUUCGCUUAGGCCUAGUUACUGCAGUAGGUUGCUCACUGUUUCUGUCGUAGAAAGAAGCGCGAAAAGGAAAUCAAACGACCUGCUUUCAAUAAAAACCUAUGCAAACCAGGUGCAGGUUUGACUUGUGGUGCAUGACCUGAUCGUAUCUGAUUACUGCCUGCCUCAUGUGCCGCCACAAUUGGCUGCUAUGUAAACUAAUGAAAGGGGAAAAUCUGUUUCUGUGUAAGCUAGUGGUGACUCACCUCUUGCGCCAACCUGAACUGAUUUUGCAUGUUCCUCUGUUGUUGAAUCAUACAUUUUAAGGCUAGGUUCGCCUCCCAACUGCUUAUUUCUUUCAGACGCUAAUAUCAGAUCAUUGCUUCAAUGUUUACACAUUUUCAAAUGAAUGUGACGCUUACUCCCCAGCUAAACACUUCUAGCCUGGCAAGCGAACAUUUAGACCCAGUUUAUUCCGUUUGUGUGAUUACGAAAUGAGUGGGCUUUUCUUGUUUUUUCACGAACAUAGCUGCACUCAUGGUUGAAAACAGGAGUGGAAAUUACUGAUGAGCUAGGAGCACGGUUACAUUUGGAAAGACGGGUGUUCACAUACUUCGUGAAGAGGAACUUGUUAAACUUUUCAUCGUGUUCUGUACAGUCUCUCAGAACUAUCUAUUACUUGGUGCAGUGAUGCAGUAUAUGGUACCAGUGAUCUUUUGCAGAGUUCUUGUUCUGAACUAUGUUGUGUUUUUUAUUAGUAUUAUCAGAGCCCAUAUAAAGCAAAAGUAAGUCACAUACGUCAAUGCAUAUGUUGCAGUUGAAGGGGUUAUUAACACAUGCAAUUUAUGGUCAUUGAUACAUUUGAGAGCAAUCUUUCUAAAUGUGGUUUUUGGGCACUAGAUGGGACACACAGAAGAAAAAAUGCACACACAUCAUCACUGCGCUGCAGGUUUUCGACUGAUUUAGAAUGUUAUGCUGAUGAACUUGUUGACUACGACUUGUAUAUCUCAGUUAUGUUUUCUGCAACAAAAACCUCUUCCAGAUGAGGCCUUGGGUCCCUGCCGCCACUUAGCUGCACAGAUGUGGCGUGUGCAUGGGGCACCAAAAAGAAACUUGUGCAGAAUAUGUAUGCACCUGCACCCAUCCGGACACAUUGCCAUGUGAAGCUGCCUGUCCCUCCUCCGCAAGUUCCAAUGACUGAUGCCGCACAGAUGUUGCAGAUCCUCCAAAACAGUGCUCCAAGUUCUGCUAUUGCAGUGUUAAAAAAACGCAGAAGAGGGCAAAACAGCUCCACAACAGAGUCUCGGACCAAGAAUGCUAAACAAGCCUGCCGUUCCGCCCCACUUCCUAUGUUGGAAAUGCUGAGGGCUCAAGCAAAUGAACUGAAGCAGAAGGCACCAGAAGACGUCAUGCUCCAUGUGCGCGAAUUGUACGGUGGAGAGCGUUCCAGGAGUGAGAUUGAAUCCUUGACACAGGGACAGUCGAAUUCUCCAGAAUGGCAAAGAUAUCGAAAGGGCCUUGUAACUGCAAGCAUUGCUCAUGCCUGUAUGACUCGAGCGAAGACUUUUCUUCGUUCGAAAGGUGCGGCCAACAUUGACCCAUUUCUUAUGCUUAUUUUAAGAAGCAGAACUGCUAUAACACCAGCAAUGCAUGUUGGGAUUUUGAAGGAAAGUGCAGCGCGUAUUGCAUACAAGACAUGGCAAGAAGCACUGGGGCACGCACUUGAAGUGCUUCAGAGAGGGCUCGUUUUGUGCGAAGAAUUUCCCUUCGUAGGUUCUUCCCC